CAAGAUCAAUAGCCCCCGUUCACUCUCUCUCUUAAUUAACCCCCCAAAACCCUAUCAUUUUCUCUCAGACGCUGCCCUUAAAUCCUCUCUUCUCCUCUCCUCAAAAACCCUAGUCGCCCUCUUAAUUUUCUCUAAAUCCGUCUCAACCAUGGAUUCUUUCCAUGAUUUUCUUGCCUUUUAUGUUUUAUCUCAGUAUUACCUGCAAGACCAUGAUAUCACUUAGUACUUGCCUAAACAUGGCAAGUACUAUCGCUCAGAUUUUGGCCGUUCAACUUCAAUCGCUUAAAUCUGAAUAAUAUCUCAUCCAUAUACAUCAUGGCUAGGCUAUAUGGUUCCAAUUAGCCAAGAUCUACGGCUAAUUUCCGAUUUCUAUCAAUUAGGGUUUACCUAAUCUUUCUCUAAUCUGACUUUUUACUGGUUCUACAUGAUUUUAUUUCCUUAUUUAUGUUGAUUUUACAAUAUUUCCUUAUUCGUUUGCCGGAUAUCUACUACUAUAUAAACAUUUCCCCAUUCCCAUUUGAAACAGACUUUAAUCGCUAGAUUUUCACUAAAAUUGGAGUUAUCACUUUAUUGUUCUCAAGUUUUAUUGUUCUAUACCUUGAUUCUUGGCCGGCUGAAAGCCAAGGCCACCAGGAUUUGACUUUUCAACCUUUUCUUGGUGCGAGCACUACCCGAGGUUCCUCUGAAGCCCUUAGGAACUUUGUUGUAUUGAGAUUCUAGGUUCUUGUUCUUUGUUGAUAUUCAGAAUAUUGUGGAAUUUGUUCUUUCUUAUUGUCCGUUUAACUAGUAAGUCACUUGGUGGUGCAAUUUGGUUAUUGUGUGUUUAUUAUUCGCACAUUCUUACCUCUGAAAUUUAUGGCUUAAUGUGUUUUUGGGCUACUUUUAUGUGUAACUUUAAUUAGCUUUGCACUUGCUUUGAGCCUCUUUAGCAUUUAAUUUCACCUAAUGCUGCCAGUUUUGAGACAUGUUUAUGCGUAAUUUCAACAAUUUGAACCCUCUUAAGUUCGUUUAGCUAAUGUAUUCUGGGCUACUGCUGUAUGCGACUUUGUUAGUUUUGCAUUUGUUUUGAACCUCUUUAGUAUUUAAUUUUACUUAAAAGUUUCCAAUUCUGAGGUAUGUUAUCUGAAUGUACUUCAUUUGAAUAAAUUGGACCUUUUUAAGUUCGUUAGUCUAUUGUGUCAAUACUUGAAUGCCUACAUUUGCUAUUUGACAUGAGUUUGCUUUCCCACUCUGUUCUGAAUCUCUGUAAGGACAGACUUGCAUAAGUAAUGUGUUCUAACCUAUGUUAAGACCUUUUCUAUCAACUAUGAUCUUCUCCCCUGUUAAUGUGUUUCACAACAUGUCUUUGUUUUGCUUAAUGUUAUAUCCUUAGUAAUUGUUUGAAACCUUUAGAAUGGUUAUCUUAGUUUGUUAUUCCAUACCAUGUUUGAUACUUUUCUGCUUCAUGAUAUAAGUUAACCUGAUUGUCUUAUGAUAUUGUAAUGAAUCCCUAGCAUAAUUUAGACCUUUAAGCUUCAAAUCUUUCAAGUUAGUGCCCUACUUAAACUUGUUUGGUGUUACUCACCUUUGUAUGAUAAUCUUGUUAAUCUUGAAAACUUGUUUAUCCCCUAACUCUUUCAAUAGUUUUCUGCCAAUUUUAUUUUGCUAAGUGUUGAACCUGCUUUUAAGUUAUGUUUACCUUCUUGAUUAGUUGUUCUUUGUUCAUAAUUUUGCUAUGUCUACCUUAAUCUAGAAGUGUAUUUUCUCAACUUUUGUCCCUUAACCACUGUCCACUCACUCUCAUUUUGUUACCUAUGCUAUUCUGAACCUAUCAUUCUUACUAUUGACCUCUCUAGUGUGAGCACUGCUCCGGUCCAUUUGAGACCCUUGUGAACUCUAACACACUAGUACUUGGGGUCACUUGGCCACUCUCUUUACUUCUAAUACCUCAGCUAUCUCUGACACUCAGUUCUUCCCUCAUUCUAUCUAUUGAACAUGCAAGCUGUUUUGUUUAAGUGAUUUCUGGGUAACUCGCUAUUUGGUCAUGUGGUCAAUCUGUGGCUGUCUUGUUUUGGCUUGGGUUCCUCUGUGAUUUCUGGGUUGUGCUGAUGGAUAUAGUUCCUUGUUAAUCUAGGUGCGCUAAAUUGGUGAAGAAAGAGUUUUGUUGAAGGCACAUGCAAUGCUGGGUAUUUCUUUUGUGCAUAUUGUAGGUCCACUAUUAUUGUUUGUAUAAUCCCUUGUAAUUACAUUCAUUACUGGACUUGUAAUAACUUUGUAAAGAACAAUUGGGGGUGUUAGUAUAAAUAGGGAAAACAG
rnacentral:lncRNA from 1 species